rnacentral:rRNA from 1 species
AGAGUUUGAUCAUGGCUCAGAUUGAACGCUGGCGGUAGGCUUAACACAUGCAAGUCGAGCGGAAACGAUGUAGCUUGCUACAGGCGUCGAGCGGCGGACGGGUGAGUAACGCGUAGGAAUCUGCCUAGUAGUGGGGGACAACCUGUGGAAACGCAGGCUAAUACCGCAUAAGCCCUGAGGGGGAAAGGAGGGGAUCUUCGGACCUUUCGCUAUUAGAUGAGCCUGCGUGAGAUUAGCUAGUUGGUGAGGUAAAGGCUCACCAAGGCGACGAUCUCUAGCUGGUCUGAGAGGAUGAUCAGCCACACUGGGACUGAGACACGGCCCAGACUCCUACGGGAGGCAGCAGUGGGGAAUAUUGGACAAUGGGCGCAAGCCUGAUCCAGCCAUACCGCGUGCGUGAAGAAGGCCCUAGGGUUGUAAAGCACUUUCAGAAGGGAGGAAAGGUUGAUGCUUAAUACGUAUUAGCUGUGACGUUACCUUCAGAAGAAGCACCGGCUAACUCUGUGCCAGCAGCCGCGGUAAU